GUGGGGAGAGGGAUUCACCUUUUCCAAGGGAAGAAAAUCCAAAAUAGACUACCUGUAAAACCCAGGCAGCUUUGGCUUUAUUUGAUGGAACUAUUUGUUGCAACCAAAGCUUGGUUGCCGCCUUUGCCAAUUAGUGGACCCUUAAUUCUUCCCUUAAUCUCCCCUCUUCUUUCAAGGAUUUUUCUCUUGUCUCUCUCCUCACUUCUGUCUCCUUAAAUACCCCAUAGGAUCAUUGGCUCCAGAAGCAAAAACUAGAGAGACUUACAUAGAGAAAAGUCAUUUUGUGUCAUGCAAAAGAAGCAGAUUAAUUAUUUCCCUGCUUUUUGUUGGCCUCCUCUUACUCUUUUUGUCCCUCUGAUAUAUAAUUAAGGAUACUUGUCAAGUUCAAGCUGAAGCUCCUUGGUGGAUAUUGUUAUCUACUCUGAUUGGAGAAAUGAUGUGCUUGUCUGACUCCUUGAAUGUCAUGUAAGAAACUUGUUAAAAAGAAUUGGUAACCUUUUUGUUUGACAUGAAGGGAGUCAUUUAGGUUAUUUAGUCACUCAAUUAGAAUUAGAUAUGAGGAGAUUCAUAAAGUUUUGGUCAUUAAGAUUGCUAUCUAUUUUAAUCGGUGAAAUGAUAGGUUUCUCCGACUUCUUCCAUGCAAUAUAGGAAGCUUUUCAAAAGAAAUUGACAAUCUUUUUAUUUGACAUUUGGGAAGUCAAGCAGGCUAGUCAGGUUACUCAGUCAGACAUAAGAAAAGUCAUGCAAGUUUUGAGGAUGUACAUUGUUAUCAAUUUUGAUUGGUGAAAUGAUGUGUUUGCCUGGCUCCCUGCAUGCCAUGUAAGAAGCUUGUCAAAUGGAAUUGACAACCUUUUUAUUUGGCAUACAGGGAGUCAAGCGGGCUAAUCAACUCACUCAAUUAGACAUGAGAAGGAUCAGGAGAUAAACUUUAUAGUCAUCUACAACUGUUUAUUUGAUCUUUGCUCCUGUGAAGUCUUAUACAUACAGAGACGCGGAUAAUAAGCUGCUUUUGGAAGAGAAGAAAAUGUGCAUGCGGAAAAUGCAGUGCAGUUACGAUAUGAUAUACCGUGUACUGGGGUGGAGAAAUUGUGUGGACAAGAAAGAGUUCAAAUAAAGCCAAAGUUAAUGAUGGAGUUAGUAGUGAAUGUGGUCGUGGAAUGCUCCCAUCCUCUGAACCUGCCACUGUAUUAGAUUGAUAUAUUUUGUAUACAGUGACAUUUACUUUGUGCAAGGUGUGAUGUCACAAUCUUAUUGCCUAGCUAUAUAUGAGCUCCUUCAUUUUAUGUCUAGAUAAUUAAGUUCUAAACUUGGUCCUAAGUUCAUAGCAUGACUAUGUAAUGUGAAUGAUAGCAUUAUAUAUGUAAUUAAUAUACGUUUUAAGUAA